UAUACUGUAGGUGACCUCAUGUUGUUGACCAGGUUAUACUGUAGGUGACCUCAUGUUGUUGACCAGGUUAUACUGUAGGUGACCUCAUGUUGUUGACCAGGUUAUACUGUAGGUGACCUCAUGUUGUUGACCAGGUUAUACUGUAGGUGACCGUGAAAGUCAUGUUGCUGACCAGGUUAUACUGUAGGUGACUGUGAAAGUCAUGUUGCUGACCAGGUUAUACUGUAGGUGACCUCAUGUUGUUGACCAGGUUAUACUGUAGGUGACCUCAUGUUGUUGACCAGGUUAUACUGUAGGUGACCUCAUGUUGUUGACCAGGUUAUACUGUAGGUGACCUCAUGUUGUUGACCAGGUUAUACUGUAGGUGACUGUGAAAGUCAUGUUGUUGACCAGGUUAUACUGUAGGUGACUGUGAAAGUCAUGUUGCUGACCAGGUUAUACUGUAGGUGACUGUGAAAGUCAUGUUGUUGACCAGGUUAUACUGUAGGUGACCUCAUGUUGUUGACCAGGUUAUACUGUAGGUGACCUCAUGUUGUUGACCAGGUUAUACUGUAGGUGACCUCAUGUUGUUGACCAGGUUAUACUGUAGGUGACCUCAUGUUGUUGACCAGGUUAUACUGUAGGUGACCUCAUGUUGUUGACCAGGUUAUACUGUAGGUGACCUCAUGUUGCUGACCAGGUUAUACUGUAGGUGACUGUGAAAGUCAUGUUGUUGACCAGGUUAUACUGUAGGUGACCUCAUGUUGUUGACCAGGUUAUACUGUAGGUGACCUCAUGUUGUUGACCAGGUUAUACUGUAGGUGACCUCAUGUUGUUGACCAGGUUAUACUGUAGGUGACUGUGAAAGUCAUGUUGCUGACCAGGUUAUACUGUAGGUGACCUCAUGUUGCUGACCAGGUUAUACUGUAGGUGACCUCAUGUUGUUGACCAGGUUAUACUGUAGGUGACCUCAUGUUGUUGACCAGGUUAUACUGUAGGUGACCUCAUGUUGUUGACCAGGUUAUACUGUAGGUGACCUCAUGUUGUUGACCAGGUUAUACUGUAGGUGACCUCAUGUUGCUGACCAGGUUAUACUGUAGGUGACCUCAUGUUGCUGACCAGGUUAUACUGUAGGUGACCUCAUGUUGUUGACCAGGUUAUACUGUAGGUGACCUCAUGUUGUUGACCAGGUUAUACUGUAGGUGACUGUGAAAGUCAUGUUGCUGACCAGGUUAUACUGUAGGUGACUGUGAAAGUCAUGUUGUUGACCAGGUUAUACUGUAGGUGACCUCAUGUUGUUGACCAGGUUAUACUGUAGGUGACCUCAUGUUGUUGACCAGGUUAUACUGUAGGUGACCUCAUGUUGUUGACCAGGUUAUACUGUAGGUGACCUCAUGUUGUUGACCAGGUUAUACUGUAGGUGACUGUGAAAGUCAUGUUGUUGACCAGGUUAUACUGUAGGUGACUGUGAAAGUCAUGUUGUUGACCAGGUUAUACUGUAGGUGACUGUGAAAGUCAUGUUGCUGACCAGGUUAUACUGUAGGUGACUGUGAAAGUCAUGUUGUUGACCAGGUUAUACUGUAGGUGACCUCAUGUUGCUGACCAGGUUAUACUGUAGGUGACCUCAUGUUGUUGACCAGGUUAUACUGUAGGUGACCUCAUGUUGUUGACCAGGUUAUACUGUAGGUGACUGUGAAAGUCAAGUUGUUGACCAGGUUAUACUGUAGGUGACCUCAUGUUGUUGACCAGGUUAUACUGUAGGUGACUGUGAAAGUCAAGUUGUUGACCAGGUUAUACUGUAGGUGACUGUGAAAGUCAAGUUGUUGACCAGGUUAUACUGUAGGUGACCUCAUGUUGUUGACCAGGUUAUACUGUAGGUGACCUCAUGUUGUUGAC